AUUUACCAUCCGCUUUUCAUACUUAGUUGGUGCAGAUUUCUAAUUAUGUAUCAAGGAAAUACUUGAGGCAAAUGAGAAUAAAGAGUCAUGUUCUGUUUGCUGUAAAAUUUUCGAAGGAUUGGCCAACUGCUGAACAGUUGGAAGCAGAGGCAUAGCCAAGGACUGAAAUGGUCCAUUGAUGUAUCCAAACUCCUCCAACUUUCCUGUACAAAUGUUGUGACCUCAGUACCAGAUUAAGACAUGCAUUUCCUCAAUUCAUUACCUUAUUUAUAAUUUUUUGUUUUAUUGAUCGACAUGUGAAUUGUUUAUUUUACUUUAGGAUUAGAAAAAGCUUCAAGGACAGCUACUGGCAGGAAGUGGGAUUUUGAUGGGUUUAGGUUCAAGUUUUGAGAUGUAAAUUAGUCGAUUUAAUUAGUCAAGUUUAUUAUGAUUUAUGUAUGAUUUAUUGGAUGUUGGAUGUUGGAUUUUGGGUAUUGGAUUUUAGAUACUG